UUUCCGUAGGUGAACCUGCGGAAGGAUCAUUAAUGGGAAAUCAAAUCAAAUCAAAACAAAUGUUCUGUUGCACUGGGUGUGCUGUGUGGUGGUGAUGUGAGACAUGGAGAUUCAAUCAUUGGAGAUUCAAUCAUUGGAGAUUCAAUCAUUGGAGAUUCAAUCAUUGGAAUUUCAAUCAUUGGAGAUUCAAUCAUUCAAUCUCAAUCAUCGCCACACAACACAACUAUCUAUCACACUCGAUCAACAACAACACACUCACACACAACAGCAAACAACUUUUAACAAUGGAUCUCUUGGCUCUU
rnacentral:misc_RNA from 1 species